ACAGAAAUAAAUAGGAGGCGUUACUUUUGGAGUGAGCCUUACAGAAAAGUCAGUGGGUAAUAUUCCUGGUAGUCUGAAGCAAUGAUGGGAAAUUGGAUCAAAAGUGGAAGAUUUUGCAUGUUACUGUGGACUGUAAUCCUUUCCUGGCCAAGCCCACGGUUGCUUGACAACUCAGCUCGCACCCUUUUAAUAUCAUUUCAGCUCCCACCGUGAUCCUGAUCCCUGCUAAGCCAGCGGCGAGCUGUCGGGCUCCAUCUACACUUCCUAACUAUCCUGGCUUCUCUUGGAAUUUUUGUUAAUAAAACCAGCUCAUUGAAUGUAAAUCUCCCGGAGCGAGGGCUCACUCAGAUAAGGCGGGAAGAACACCCGGCUGGAGCCGGCCCCGCUCAGGCCGCUCUGCUGCCGGAGGGAGGCUGUCAGGCCGGCUUUGCUGGGCAAGAGCUCCGCCUAAGGGAGCAGGACUGAAGUCUUUCCUGAGGCAACGCAGCAAGUGUUGUGCGAGGAGGGGAAAAGCCACCAGGGUUUCUCAUGCUCCACGUGAGAAAGAAAAGGUCUGACCGUGCUGUAGCAGAUAACUGCUCGUGAUCUUCGCCAUCACCAUCAGCAGCACCAUUUCCCCUGCAGCGUUCCUGAAGUAAACAUCUCCAUAAUAGGUGUUGCUGACACCUGCUGAGCUCACCGUGAUGAGGACAACCGAUGCUCUCCCUGACACUGGAAGAUGGCUGACAUGGGUUUUACCUGGUAAGAUAGAGGGAGAGUUAUCUGGGUUAAUCAGCUAGAGUUGUGCUCUGCUUGCCACCACCAAAAGUCAUUUUCAUGCCAUUAUUACAUUCUUUUAGGUUUGUGUGUUUUAACCCUUCAGCUUCCUCCAGAAAUAACAGUUAGCCAUAAUGGGUGGUUUUGCAGUGCACACAGAGAAACUUGGAGUAUAGUGCUUCUGUCUUCUCAUGUUCAGAAACAGAGAGCCUCUCUGGGCUCAGGAAUUUCUGAGUCUUCUUUAAAUAAGCCUUGCACGUAAAUAUCCUGUGAUUUAAUAAAGGCACUGCAGAAAAAUGUAAUCUCUCCUACUUAAUAUUUCUCUCUUCUACUCUAACUUGUCCUUUAAAUAACAGUAUGCAGCUCACAGGCAUUAAUCUGUGAGCUUCUGAACUGCAGAAAAGGACAACAGAAAUGACUGCUCACAAAUAGAGUUAUCCCCUUUUCCAGAUACCAUCAAAGUUUAUUUAUCUGAUUCACAGAUGAGACAGAGGUUAUAGUUUGUAUACCCCUGUGGGAAAAUUGUUAUUGUUUUUAUAGCAUAUCUUUUAGCUGAUUGCACAUACUGCCUCAUAAAACUGCAAGCACACACAGGAGAAGUGUUUGUAUCAGCUCUGUGAUUUCCACUCACUUGAGUGCACACCUUGUGCAAGUUCUCUAUCAGCAUGUCCCCUUCCGCAGUGUCCCAUGAUCUUCUAGAAUAAUUUGUUUUCAGUUUACCUAUCAGUAAGUGAAAAGGGGUUCUCUUUUAUGCAACUGGAAGAAUAUUGGAUAGCAGCGCACUUCUGCUCUGAGGGUUAAAAUAGUGUUACUGCUGGCUUCUGUGUGCCAGAGCAGCACCGCAGGCUGUACUUCUGCAGAGGAAGCUUAUGCAAAACGAUGAAAGGUUACAGAGAGGAGCCAAAGUGCUAAGGUUUCUAUGAUUAAUAAUCACCUACUGCCUGUUCCACAUUACCAAAUGCUACUGAACAUAAUGAUACCUUCAGCGUAAUGAAUUUCCCGCAGCUCAUCUGAAAAUCUCUUUAUCUGGAUGUGUUGGCUGUCCUCCACUUUGGCUGAGCAGAACUGUUUCGUCACUGGGAAACCACUUGAGAAUUCAAGUUGAAUGGGACAAAAGGAAAAAAACAAAAAUCCCAGAGAGCAAAUGACAGCCCAGUUUGAAAGAGACUUCAUGUAUGCAGAGAGGACCAGGCUGGCAAAAGCAAAAAUGCUGAAGCUCUGGUAUUUCUGUGUAAAAUUACAGAUGACUGUUUUGCAGGGAAGGCUUUAUAAAAAUCCAUAAUUUAUUUUUCCUUUUUUUUUAACCUUUGAAGCAGGCUUUAAAAUCAUAAUCACUGCCUUCAUAUUUCUUUUUAAGAUCCUGUAUACACCUACAGUUACUAUUUAUGUAAUAAGGAAAUAACUUCAUCUUAGUCUGUUUUUAGGUUUGAAUAUAAGGCCUUAGGAUGACCCCCACCCCCUGGAAUGUUCCCCCUGUAAAACGGUUGUGUUUGAAUGUGUGCAGCAGAAACAGGAUUUCAACAUGCCGGUAUGUUUCUGUGAAUGUUUUCCUGGAAGCAGUGAGCCUGUUUGGCUGAAUCUGUGCACAUCUCACUACACUCUAUACAUUUACUUAUUGAAUUAAUUGAAUUCAAACAAGCAUCAAUAUGAGAUCCAUGUUUAGUAAAAGUGUAAUACUAUCCUUGUGCUUUAGAGUGCGGAUUCUGUUCUAUUACAUUAUGUUACAUUCAGGUUGGCUUUAAAAAGCAGAGGCCCCUUUCGAUAUGCUAUGUGUAUGCAGCAAGAAAGCUGUAUUUUAAAAUAAAAACAAAAACAAACAAACAAAAAAAAAACAAAAAAAACCCUAAGAAUCUCAAAGGGGGGGGAUUGGGGUAAAGAGAAGCAAAGUGAGUGAAAAGUCAUUGGGCAAGCUUGGAUGAAAGCCUCCAUUCCUGUUUACCCAUGCUCCUUUCCAUCAAUAACUUCUUUUUCCUGCAUUGCCUUGGCCAAUAACCAGCUGAACUGAAGAGGUCUGAAGCUAAGCCUGUGAGUUUUUCAGCUAGAUAAUGGUUCAUGCUCUUGGUGUGCUUGCAUGCGUGGUUUGUGUAGGGGGGUUUGGGGAGUUUUUGAUUGUUUGUUUUGUAAAUAUACAAUUGCCAACCUUGCUUGAAACUUAAGAAUGGAAUUAUAUGAAUAUAUAUGUAUUUUUAAGAAUUGUCAGGCAACAGGCAUCAAAUUAUCCUCAAAUGUGAAUGGAAAGCACAUGUGAGACAAAUUUUAAUUAAAAAUGUUGAAAACCAGAAUUGGCAAUUUUUCCAAGGACAGACUGGCACUGGUAAAAAAAAAAUGCUCUGCAACCCAAUCAACAAUUUUCUGUUUUCUUGUGUCUGAUUGAGAUUUACAGUGAAGGAAGUUGCUGAAUUCAGAUGAGGAUAACCAAGAUGCUCCUUACUGGCCCCUCUUGCAGUUGAUGGAGAUUUUUUCAUGGCUGGAAGACAGCAUCAUGUGCACCACGGGGUUCAGAAUUGUCAUAUGCUAUUUUACAUCACAUCCCAAGGGUAUCAGAUAAGUUGGUUAUGAACCACAGUAAAUACUGUACAUGUGGCAAAAAGAACCAUUGUCCAUUGGAUGCAACAUUUAAACAGGAGUAUGGCCUCUAAAAAUGGCCCAAUUCUUUCUAAAUGUUCAAAAAGCUGCUCUGUAGUAUAAUUAAAUAUUAAUGCUUCACCAAAAAUACAUUUUCUAAAACUGGAAGUGCUGAUCAUCCCAAGUGUAUUUUAAAUAAUCUCUGUCCGUGUAUUUUUCACUCGAGCUGCACAUUUAGAAGUGGUUUCCAUCUUGUGGUGUUGACAUCUGGGAAUCUUUAUAACAACUUCUAUGAAUAUAGAAUCAAUAAUGUGGUUCCUCUCAGUAAUGUUCUUAUCUAGAAAGAUAUGUAGGAAGUAUUAUUCACCACGCGGUCAGCGCAGGUUCCUCAUUUUCAAACAAACUGUAGGUAAAGAGACCAUCAGAAGACAAAAAUUGAAUUACAACUCAUCUUGAAGAUGAAUUGCCCUGCCUUCCGAAGGAUUCAUUGUUUUAUCAUACGUGAAGAGGAAACAAUGAAAAUGGGAAAGGGGAGGGAGAAGUCAAUACAGAAAUACGAAGCAACUACAAAAGGUCCAGGAAUCUGGAAGCAUCCAUAUGUGGGCUGGCUUAUACCCUACUCAAAAGAAAUGGAUGUCCUGUUGAUAUGGAAAAAACUUUUCUUUUUCAGGCAGCUCUGCAGUUUAAUGCAUACUACAGAUUGGAGGGCAAGGGCCACACAGCAAAUCAGCUUUGUAGGUUCAGUGUUCUCUGACAGCCUCACCCCAAAAUGAAUUUCCAGUUUGUAAAGGGAUUUGGUAGCUUGCAUUGGUUUUGCAUGGAAAUUUAUUUUAUAAUGGAAUGCCUAGCAAGGCUUCAUUUCUUUUCUGAUCUGCUCAGAAAUAGAAUAAGAGUUUAAUACAGGGGUAAGAUAGCAGUGGUUGAAGAAUCCUUAGAAACAAUUUUUUAAAUACUUGAAUUAGUUUUGUGACACAUAAGUUGUUCAAAAGAUUUUUUAUGACAUAAGGCCUUGCAACCUCCAGGACAGAAAGGGAAAGCAUAGCAGCAUGUUCAAUACUUCUUAGUUAAAGAAGGAAUUGAAUGCCGUCUUCCUGUGGCAUGGAGGACGGAGCUAAUGAUGGAGCUGCUGGGUGUCUCAUCUCUCACGGUGUUCCUUGUCAUGCUCAGUCUGACAGAGAGGCUUUGAGAGUAUUUCCUGCAGGUGGCCCAACAUGGGAAGGAGGAAGAGGACCUCAGCAACCUUCAGUUUGUGGUGGCAAUUACACGUAAGCUUUGCUGUGUUGCUCCUUGUAAGUGAUGAGACUUGGGCAACUCUCAUCAGUGGGACCUCCAUGGCAAUGACCAAAGUGACACAUUCCUGGUGUGACAGCUGAACAGAAAUGUUUUAGACUUGCAUUAAAAAGACAGCAAGGACUUACCUACCCAGAGGGGCAGUAUUUUGGUACCUGAGAUAAUUAGCAGACUCUCUCAAAGCUCAUUAUGAGCAAAUCAGGUUACCUUCACCACAGAUGAGGCUCAAGGUUUAGUGCUAGGUCCAGGGAUUUUCCUAUGGGCAGGUGUGAGCCAGGCAGCUCCCUGCCACGAGGGUGGGGAGAGGUGGGGAGGACAAAUUGCUGUGACAGAGCACUCAGGAGCUGCAAACUGCCACACUGAAGUUUGUUGUCUCAGAGCAGAGCCUGUGAGUCAGGACUGGCAGCCACCAGGUAUAGGAUAAAUCGGAGCAAUGGAAAUUAUGUGUAAAAUGCAGUGUAUGUGUACAGAAAAUCAAAAUGUGUUCUCAAAAUCAAAACUGCAUCCUCCGAUUAUAGCCAAUGCCCACACACACAGGGAUUAUUAAUUACAUCCCUGUUAAAGUGAUGGCUGCUAUGUACACUGUAUGGGGCUGCUGCAUCACGGCCUGAACCUCUGAUUGAUCA